UUCAGCCGACAGACCACGGUCUGACUUGACCCUCGACCUCUUCAGCCAACAGACCACGGUCUGACUUGACCCUCGACCUCUUCAGCCGACAGACCACGGUCUGACUUGACCCUCGACCUCUUCAGCCGACAGACCACGGUCUGACUUGACCCUCGACCUCUUCAGCCGACAGACCACGGUCUGACUUGACCCUCGACCUCUUCAGCCGACAGACCACGGUCUGACUUGACCCUCGACCUCUUCAGCCGACAGACCGGUCUGACUUGACCCUCGACCUCUUCAGCCGACAGACCACGGCCUGAUUUGACCCUCGACCUCUUCAGCCGACAGACCACGGCCUGACUUGACCCUUGCCCUCUUCAGCCGACAGACCACGGUCUGACUUGACCCUCGACCUCUUCAGCCGACAGACCACCGUCUGACUUGACCCCACCCCCGGGGUUGAGGGUGUCCUGUGAUGUUAUAUGACCUGUGACCUCAUUGUUUGACACGUGAUGUCAUUGCCUUGACCUCUUCACAUAAUGGUUAAGGUUAGGAUUGGGGGUUAGCUGAUCCUAGAUCUGUCAUUGUUUUCCCUACUUGUGAUGUCGUCAUGUGACCCCCCUCACCGACCUGUGACGUCAUGGUCUGACUGACACAGCUGUGCGACGGACUCUGAGGAUAAUAAUAUAAAGUUAAAUCAACGGAAUCGCUGUCUAGACUUGUAUUGAUGUUUCUCCACAGGAAGUUACACCUUUACAACAGAAUAUCAUUACGUUCAUUCUCUUAUUCUGUCACAAAUGCCACCCUAUUCCCUACAUAGUGCACUACAAGAGCCUGAAGGUAGUGCACUACAAGAGCCUGAAGGUAGUGCACUACAAGAGCCUGAAGGUAGUGCACUCCCAAGAGCCUGGAGGUAGUGCACUCCCAAGAGCCUGGAGGUAGUGCACUCCCAAGAGCCUGGAGGUAGUGCACUCCCAAGAGCCUGGAGGUAGUGCACUCCCAAGAGCCUGGAGGUAGUGCACUCCCAAGAGCCUGGAGGUAGUGCACUCCCAAGAGCCUGGAGGUAGUGCACUCCCAAGAGCCUGGAGGUAGUGCACUCCCAAGAGCCUGGAGGUAGUGCACUCCCAAGAGCCUGGAGGUAGUGCACUCCCAAGAGCCUGGAGGUAGUGCACUCCCAAGAGCCUGGAGGUAGUGCACUCCCAAGAGCCUGGAGGUAGUGCACUCCCAAGAGCCUGGAGGUAGUGCACUCCCAAGAGCCUGGAGGUAGUGCACUAUAUAGGGAUUAGGGUGACAGCCUGUGUCUUUAUAUAGUGUUGAUCUCUGUAACCUUCAAUCAGAUGUUCUGUUAUUGUUUCCCUACUUCCUGUUUUGAUCUCUGUAACCUUCAGUCAGAUGUUCUGUUAUUGUUUCACUACUUCCUGUGUUGAUCUCUGUAACCUUCAGUCAGAUGUUCUGUUAUUGUUUCCCUACUUCCUGUUUUGAUCUCUGUAACCUUCAGUCAGAUGUUCUUGUUGUUUCACUACUUCCUGUUUUGAUCUUUGCUCGAAAGUUGUUGUUUUCAACAGAAGGUUCAUAUGGCUUCAUGUUGGACACACCCCUACAGGAUGUAGAGAAACACCCGUAUGUCAUUUUAAACGGGACACACAACUAUCAUCUUGUUAUUUUCUUGUAAAUGGAAAGUGGAGAAAAAGGUUGAACCUGAAUGAAUUGAUUUGUAAUUAGAACAAA